CCAUAUUAUUAAAUUUAGAUUUGAUUAUUAUAAAUCUAUUUGUCUAAAUAUUAUCGUUGGCUUUAGUUGAAAAAUGGAUUGACUAUGUGGAUAGUUCCAUGUGAUUAUACUUGUUCUGUGGAUUACUAUGGAUUUUACAAAAUUAUGCGUCCUCCUUCUUUCUCGGAUUCCGAGGACGGAAUCCCUAUAAGGAGGGUAGAUUGUAAUAACCCGGAUUUUAAAAAUAUUUUUAUUAAUAUUAUAAAGGAUUUUCUUAAAAAGAAAGGAAUAAGAUUUAAUAUUUUAUUCCAGUUUAAUGAAUUUUCAAAGGUUUAUAUUUAAACCCCGGGUUAUUGUGUUAUUGAUAAAUAAUUGUAUUUUCAAAACGGAUUUUCAUAUAUUAUUUUGAAAAUUCUGUAUGAAUAUUAUGCGAAUAUAUGUGUUAUGUGAUUAGGUGGUAUUGGUGGAUUUGUUGAUUAAUUAACUAUGGUUAAUUAUGAGUAUUAUAUGAUUAGUAUAUGAAUUUUUGUGAAUUUUAUAUUAUCUGGUUUAUUGCGUUAACUGCUCAUAUGUGUUCGUAUUUGAGAGAUUUCAAUUUCUAUAUGCUCAGGAGAAAAUAUAGUUUAUUUGGAUAUUUUCAUAUCGAUUUAUGGAAUGUUAGAUGAUUUUAUAAUUGAUUUACAGAUUUAAUUGUGCAUAUUUAUAUUUAAUUAUUAAUUAUUUGACUUCCGUAAAACCGUCCACUCGUAACGAGGUGGCAAAUUUUCUUCCCGGAAGUUUCGAGAAAACUCACCUUUAGCCUAAUUUGAAUAUUCCGGACAUUUUUCGUGUUUUGACUUUUUCGAUCCGGAGUACGGUUUUCCCUGGAGUCGGUCCGGCGGAGUUUUUCGGGUACUAAAAUUGUCGAUAAUUAUCCAGUUUGUCUCGAUAAACGUGAACCGAGAUAUUUUCUUCAUCCUUAUCUUGUAAUAAUUGCAAUGGGACCCGCAGACCAAUAAUUGAGUUAAAAAGCCCCGUUUUGAUGAUUAUCUUGAAAACUAGUACCGAUUGGACCCCACUUUCUUAAUAUAAAGCUAUUAAAUACGUAUUUUCAUGCCAUAAACGAUCCAAAGGGGUACCAAUUAUUUGUAAAUAUAAAUAUACCUUUCUAGAGCUUAUUUUCACCCGUAAAAUCAUUUCACCAGUUUCUCCGCACGAUAAUCGAGAGAAACCGAGCGGUGUUCUUCGUGUUCUUCAUAAUCAAACGUGGAUUUGAAGGCGUUAUUGGAGUCAGAAUCAAGCGUGCGAAUAGUCAAAUCGAAGAUAUCGAAGAGUAGAAUCUAUAUCUGCAAUCAAAAACAACCUGAGAUUCACAGAAAGGCUGAAAGAUGAGAUGAUUGAUUGAGAUUGUGGAUAAGGCUAAUGCUAGGCGAGGAGACAGAGUUGAGGAUCCAGUGGUCAGGGAGUGGUGAGGAAAGUUGAUGAGGUUGGUGCAAGCUGGAAUAGUUGACAGUGAUUCUUCUUAUCGAAGAUGAUCUGACUUGGUAAGAAAUAUUGUAUAGUAUUAGUGGUGGAUUCUAAUUUCAAUACUGUAACCUGGAAGCGAUCCUGUUGUUUUUGGGGGUUAAAAUGUUCUCUUUCGAAUCACUUAUUAAAGUUUAAAUGUUCUCUGGAAAUUCUUUUAU